rnacentral:rRNA from 1 species
ACACUCCUACGGGAGGCAGCAGUGGGGAAUAUUGCACAAUGGGCGCAAGCCUGAUGCAGCCAUGCCGCGUGUAUGAAGAAGGCCUUCGGGUUGUAAAGUACUUUCAGCGGGGAGGAAGGCAAUACGGUUAAUAACCGUGUUGAUUGACGUUACCCGCAGAAGAAGCACCGGCUAACUCCGUGCCAGCAGCCGCGGUAACACGGAGGGUGCAAGCGUUAAUCGGAAUUACUGGGCGUAAAGCGCACGCAGGCGGUCUGUCAAGUCGGAUGUGAAAUCCCCGGGCUCAACCUGGGAACUGCAUUCGAAACUGGCAGGCUUGAGUCUUGUAGAGGGGGGUAGAAUUCCAGGUGUAGCGGUGAAAUGCGUAGAGAUCUGGAGGAAUACCGGUGGCGAAGGCGGCCCCCUGGACAAAGACUGACGCUCAGGUGCGAAAGCGUGGGGAGCAAACAGGAUUAGAAACCCGGGUAGUCCCAUG